rnacentral:rRNA from 1 species
UCAAGUGAAUAAGUGCAUGUGGUGGAUGCCUUGGCGAUUACAGGCGAUGAAGGACGUUGUAGCCUGCGAUAAGCCGCGGGGAGCUGGCAAACAAGCUUUGAUCCGCGGAUGUCCGAAUGGGGAAACCCACCCGCAAGGGUAUCGCUGACUGAAUCCAUAGGUCAGCGAGGCGAACGUGGCGAACUGAAACAUCUAAGUAGCCACAGGAAAAGAAAUCAACCGAGAUUCCGAAAGUAGUGGCGAGCGAAAUCGGAGCAGCCUGUGCGUGAUAGUCGAUUGGCUAGUGGAACGGUAUGGAAAGGCCGGCCAUAGAGGGUGAUAGCCCCUUACACGAAAGCGAAUCGGUGGUACUGAGCGUACGACAAGUAGGGCGGGACACGUGUAAUCCUGUCUGAAGAUGGGGGGACCAUCCUCCAAGGCUAAAUACUCGUAAUCGACCGAUAGUGAACAAGUACUGUGAAGGAAAGGCGAAAAGAACCCCGGGAGGGGAGUGAAAUAGAUCCUGAAACCGCAUGCAUACAAACAGUCGGAGCCUCGCAAGGGGUGACGGCGUACCUUUUGUAUAAUGGGUCAGCGACUUACGUUCAGUGGCAAGCUUAACCAGAUAGGGGAGGCGCAGGGAAACCGAGUCCGAAUAGGGCGCCAUAGUCGCUGGGCGUAGACCCGAAACCAGGUGAUCUAUCCAUGGUCAGGAUGAAGGUUGGGUAACACCAGCUGGAGGUCCGAACCGACUAAUGUUGCAAAAUUAGCGGAUGAACUGUGGAUAGGGGUGAAAGGCUAAUCAAACCUGGAAAUAGCUGGUUCUCCCCGAAAACUAUUUAGGUAGUGCGUCAUGUAUUGCUCCAGGGGGUAGAGCACUGUAAUGGUUGUGGGGGCCAUCGCGGCUUACCACGCCAUAGCAAACUCCGAAUACCUGGAAGUAUGAGCAUGGCAGACAGUCGCCGGGUGCUAACGUCCGGCGGCAAGAGGGAAACAACCCAGACCUACAGCUAAGGUCCCAAAGUGUGGCUAAGUGGGAAACGAAGUGGGAAGGCUAAAACAGUCAGGAUGUUGGCUUAGAAGCAGCCAUCAUUUAAAGAAAGCGUAAUAGCUCACUGAUCGAGUCGUCCUGCGCGGAAGAUGUAACGGGGCUAAGCCAUGCACCGAAGCUUAGGCUGCACUCUUUGAGUGCGGGGUAGGGGAGCGUUCUGUAAGCCUGUGAAGGUGUCUCGUAAGGGAUGCUGGAGGUAUCAGAAGUGCGAAUGCUGACAUGAGUAGCGUUAAAGCGGGUGAAAAGCCCGCUCGCCGUAAGCGCAAGGUUUCCUACGCAACGUUCAUCGGCGUAGGGUGAGUCGGCCCCUAAGGUGAGGGCGAAAGCCAUAGCUGAUGGGAAGCUGGUUAAUAUUCCAGCACCGAUUUCUAGUGCGAUGGGGGGACGGAUCGUGGAAGGUUGUCCGGGUGUUGGAAGUCCCGGUUCCUGACCUGUAGGUGUCUGGUAGGUAAAUCCGCCAGGCGUAUGCCGAGGGGUUGGGACGAGCGAGCUUGCUCGCGAAGCAACUGGAAGUGGUUCCAAGAAAAGCCUCUAAGCUUCAGCUAGAAACGACCGUACCGCAAACCAACACUGGUGCGCGAGAUGAGUAUUCUCAGGCGCUUGAGAGAACUCGGGAGAAGGAACUCGGCAAAUUGACACCGUAACUUCGGAAGAAGGUGUGCCUUGGUAGCUUGAGUGUGAACAACACAAGGGCAAAGAGGUUGCAAAGAAUAGGUGGCUGCGACUGUUUAUUAAAAACACAGCACUCUGCAAACACGAAAGUGGACGUAUAGGGUGUGACGCCUGCCCGGUGCCGGAAGGUUAAGUGAUGGGGUGCAAGCUCUUGAUCGAAGCCCCGGUAAACGGCGGCCGUAACUAUAACGGUCCUAAGGUAGCGAAAUUCCUUGUCGGGUAAGUUCCGACCUGCACGAAUGGCGUAACGAUGGCCACACUGUCUCCUCCCGAGACUCAGCGAAGUUG